AGACAUUCAGGGUCAGGCUGGGGGAGCUCUGAGUACCCCAUCUCGCUAGCAGUGCGGAAUGAGGCGGGCGUUCGGUGCGAGUAACUCCGGAACACUCAGGGACCGCUCCUCCAGGUGGUUCGUGGCUCCUCCUGCAGGUGUCACUCUGGCACUGUGCUAUCAGUCGAACAUCUUCAUUCCAUCCUGGUGGGACGGCAGUUUGCGGUACUCGCCAGCUCAAUUAGCUGCCUCUUCAUUGACUUCCUAAUUAACAAAUAACCGCUACUGUGACUUGGGUUCUCAUCUCGGCCACGCUGUUUCCUGCAGACCCCCGUUCGUGUAAGAUCAGUACUAGAACAGGAUAGAAAGUGUGACUUCUUGUUGGAUCCCGUUCUUAAGUACUCAGCACGAUAUCCCCCAAGCGUUAGCCGUGGGGACCCGGCUCUUCCUAAAUUCGUUGUGAACGAACAAGUGGGAGGUGCCCCGGGGCUGCUUUUCCCACUGUUGGAAUCUGCUCCCGUGGGAGAGCCCGUCUUGCUCUGAGCUCUCCGGAGCAGACAGUUCAGUGCCCGCGAAUGAGAUCUGUCAUUAGUCUGACCUCAGCUGAGGAAAUGCAUUUGGGAGUGCCGGCGGAAGGUAUCGCCUAUCUUCCUUUGCAUAACACCCGCAGCCUGGAGACUUUGUCGCUGCUGUGUCGGUGCAUAGCCGCCUUCUUAUUUGCCUGUGUGUAAAUACAUUCGCGUUUUCCCUGGGGGUGGCAGGAGGUACGUCUCGUCCCAAAGUCUGUGUAAGAGCCUGCAUUUCAGUGCGAAGCCUGUGAAUAAAAUAUAGGCGCUGGUUUAUGACCAUAGCGAUCGUAUAUUUAUCCACGUGCGUAAAGCAGUUCUGAACGUACGUGUAAAAAAAGGCUUGCAAAUGGCCACGGGUAGAAUGCAUUUACCGACUGCUACAUUGGGAGAUAAAGUUAUUUAAAGCCCCUUGUUAUCUAAACCUGAUAUAUCCUCCCAUAUCUUUUCUUGGAAG
ensembl:lncRNA